ACUUCCUCUCUCUCUGAUUUCACUCCCCUCUCUGCGGUUCUUUGAGUCGCAAACCCUAACCCCUCUUUUCUUCGAUUUCUGAUUUUUGAAUUUGAAGAGGCGUGUAAUUCUCCUCUCUUUGCUAUCUCGACUUGAGAUUAGGGUUCUUCAUACUGAAAAAAUUAGGAUGUUCUUCGAUCUGCUGAUUCUGCAUACUGGAAAGAAGAAGCUCAUCAAGGAAUGUGAAGGCUGGGUCUUCGAAACCUCUAAUAGAUCUCACGAGUUAGUCGCUGGUGCAUCCAAGACGGCGGCGCUCAAGCAAGAAGAUUCAAUAAGAGCGGGGAACGAAACUUUCACACUCCGAAAAAAAAUUAGACCCGACCCCGAGAGAAAGCGUGCUCAAACCCUAAUUUUCAUUCUUAACCCAUCGACCUCCUCCUCCCCAAAUUCGCUCCUCCUCCUCUUCACCAUCACAAUCCUUCCUCCUCCAUUCUCCGGCGGAAUCUAAAGCUCCGAGAGAGCCGAAGAAACCUAGACCCCAACAAAGUUGAAGAAAUUGAUGAAGCUCUGAAUCCUUUCGACGACAAACUCGAGCUCCCUCUCCACCUUUCGCCGCCUCCGACGGAGAUCAACCAGCUUAUGUUCGCUGCUUCCAGCUUUGUCGGUUAACCUAACACAACCACGAUGAUGACGGCUCAGUUGCACCCUGAAUCGACGUUGUCGGCUCUGAAAUUUCCUGACUUUCGAUUCCGAUUCACACUAGUCAAGACUAGAAAGAAGAAGCGGUAGUGAUGAGUUCGGCGGUGCUGAAGGAGAGAAGAAGGCCAAAUGCUCUGACUGUGUCCCUUAAUUCGAAGAUUUACAGAGUCAGCGAUAGGCUCUUCCUCUGCCUCUCCGGCCUCACCACCGAUGCUCAGACUCUGUUUCAGAGGCUUAUGUAUAAACACAAGCUUUACCAGCAGAGGGAAGAGAGGCAUUUUUGAUGGGUGUUCUGUAUAUGCUUGAGCAAUGUGAUUUAGGUCACCUGAUGGAAAAGAUUGAAUGCUGACAGAACUCGGAAUCAAAGAUGGGGCACAACUGAAGCGCCAUUUGAUCCCCAAAUCUAGAGUGAAAUCUAAGAGAAGCAAAACGAAAAGCGAAAGCAAAACCAGAGAGAGGUAAAGGUCUUUUGAGCUUCUUAGUUUAAGCAAUUGAGAGUUAUCUUUUUGCGUUUAUAGUUCUCUGAAACCAUUUGGCCUUAGUUCUGAAUGUUCACCUUUUAUUUUCCUAUAUGUUCCCCGGAAUGAAUGUGGGGAGUUGGAACGUUUGGAGAAGCUA